GCCCUGGUUGCACAGUGGUUAAGCAUUUGGCUGUUAACCAAAAGGUUGGUGGUUCAAACCCACCGGCU
rnacentral:tRNA from 1 species